rnacentral:sRNA from 1 species
CCGCUGCCACCGCCUCGGACCCGGCGGGACCCCCACCACUACCUCUGCCCGGGCCGCCACCCCUCGCGCCCACCACCACCGCCGGGACCCUGGCGGCCAGCGAGGGCAGAUGGAAGAGUAUGAGGAAGAGCCCUCUCGGGGGUGGUGGCGGCUCGGGAGCCUCCAGUCAGGCCGCCUGCCUCAAACAGAUCCUUCUGCUGCAAUUGGACCUCAUCGAACAGCAGCAGCAGCAGCUGCAGGCCAAGGAAAAGGAGAUCGAGGAGCUGAAGUCAGAGAGAGACACGCUCCUUGCUCGGAUUGAACGUAUGGAAAGGCGGAUGCAGCUGGUAAAGAAGGAUAACGAGAAAGAAAGGCACAAGCUGUUUCAGGGCUAUGAAACUGAAGAGAGAGAGGAAACAGAGCUAUCUGAGAAAAUUAAACUGGAGUGCCAGCCGGAGCUUUCCGAGACAUCCCAGACUCUGCCUCCCAAGCCUUUCUCAUGUGGGCGGAGUGGAAAGGGACAUAAAAGGUGUGCUGAUAACUUUGUUUGAUGAGGACCCUUGUUACCAGUGAUUGAGAGUAGGAGAUUGGGAUUUAUGAAUUGGUUUUAUAGCAAUCAUAACUUGCUUUAGAAGUCUUCUAUGCGGAGGGCCGGGUGUGGUGGCUCACACCUGUAAUCCCAGCACUUUGGGAGGCCAAGGCGGGUGGAUCACAAGGUCAAGAGAUAGAGACCAUCCUGGCCAACAUGGUGAAACCCCAUCUCUACUAAAAAUACAAAAAAUUAGCCGGGCGUGGUGGCAGGUGCCUGUAGUCCCAGCUACUCGGGAGGCUGAGGCAGGAGAAUCACUUGAACCCGGGAGGCAGAGGUUGCAGUGAGCCGAGAUUGCUCCACUGCACUCCAGCCUGGCAACAGAGCGAGACUCCAUCAAAAAAAAAAAAGAAGUCUUCUAUGCUGAGAAGCUAUCUUGAAACAUUCUUA